rnacentral:rRNA from 1 species
GUGCCAGCAGGCCGCGGUGAAUACGUUCCCGGGCCUUGUACACACCGCCCGUCACACCACGAAACUUGGUUCUACCCGAAGCCGGCGGACUAACCCGCAAGGGAGGUAGUCGUCUACGGUAGGGCUGAUAAUUGGGGUGAAGUCGUAACAAGGUAACC